rnacentral:sRNA from 1 species
AUGUUAAUAGACACUGGUUCCCCAGUCACUAUAUUAUCUGAAAAUUUAAUUAAAAAAGUAGAUUUAGGGUCAUCAGGUCUGUCCAGAGUUGAAUCGACUCUAUCUGCAGCUGAUGGCAAUAAAAUGAAAAUUAAAGGUCAAGCUGUUUGUGAAAUUAAAAUAGGCAAUAAUGAAUUUCAACAUAAAAUCAUAUUCACAAAACUAGGGAAAUUAGAAGGCAUUCUAGGAAUGGACUUUUUAAAAUGUUAUGAAUGUGAAAUCAAAUUAGCAGAAGCUAAAUUUCUUAUAGCAAAACAAGUUAUAAACCUUAAACAACAUUUUAGUACAACAUGUGCCAGAAUCAAAUUAGGGGAAAAUAGAGUUGUCUCUCCUAGGUCAGAAACCUUUUUAAAAGGGUAUGUCGAUGGUGAAUUUUCAGGAGAUUUUGGGAUGAUAGAGCCCAAUAAAAUUCUAUUUCAAAAAAGGGGCUUACUGGUUGCCAAGUCAUUGAAUAACACUAAGGAAAAAGAAAUUAUUAUCUCAGUGAUAAAUUUAAAUGACAAUCCUGUUAAGUUAAAAAAGAAUUUGAUGAUAGGAACUUUGGAACAUGUCGAUUUGGUAUCCCAAGAACAGGAAACCAACAGAGAUAAAACCCAGGGAAAUUUACCUGAACAUUUAAAGGAGUUAGUAGAAAAAUGCUCUAGUAGUUUGACCCUUGAAAAUAAACAAAAGUUAAUUGAACUUUUAGUAGAAUAUCAAGAUAUCUUUGUGGGACCUGAUGGUAUGUUAGGCCAAACAGAUGUGGUAAAACAUAAGAUUAAUACUGGAUCGGCUAAACCGGUUAAAACACCCCCUAGACGAAUUUCUCCCAAACAAAAAGAAAUAGUUGAAAAAGAAUUAGAGUCUAUGUUAAAAAAGGGCGUAAUAGAACCCAGUAACAGUAGUUGGAGUAGUCCUAUUUGUCUUGUAAAAAAAAAGGACCAAGUUUCUUGGCGGUUUUGCAUAGAUUAUAGGCGGGUUAACUCCCUUUGUUCACCUUCGGGAUAUCCCUUGCAAAAGAUAGAUGAUUGUUUAGCGUCCCUAGAAGGAGCAAAAUGGCUGUCAACGGUCGAUUGUCAUAGUGGUUAUUGGCAGGUUUCGUGUGAUGAGGAGGACAGAGAAAAAACUGCUUUUAGCACUCAUAAAGGUCUUUUUCAAUUUCGAGUUAUGCCCAUGGGUUUAAAUUCAGCCGCUCAAACUUUUCAGAAGUUAAUGGAAAAAGUUUUGGGAAAUCUUCAAUGGCGUCAUUGUCUUUGCUACUUAGAUGAUAUCAUAGUUUUUGGGAAUAAUUUUGAACAAGCUUUAGAAAAUCACAAGUUAGUAUUUGAAUGUCUAAGAGCAGCAAAUCUGAAAUUAAAGCCCUCCAAAUGUACAUUAUUUCAAAAAGAAGUAAUCUUUCUGGGACAUGUUGUAUCUGAAAAUGGAAUAAAAUGUGAUCCUACAAAAAUAGAAAGUGUAAAAGACUGGCCUUCACCUACAAAUGUAUUCUGAAAUAAAAAGUUUUUUAGGUUUUGCAGGUUAUUACCGCAAAUUCAUUUCCGAAUUUUCCACCAUAGCCUCUCCUUUAAUAAAAUUAACUAGGAAAAAUCAAAGUUUUAAAUGGUCUGAUAAAUGUGAAGAAUCAUUUAAUAAAUUAAAAGAAAGGUUAAUUUCAGCCCCAAUUUUAUCUUUCCCUAAAGAUGAGGGACUGUUCAUAUUAGAUACAGACGCAAGUUUAAAUGGUGUAGGAGCGGUUUUAUCUCAGAUACAGGAUGAAAAAGAGAAAGUAAUUAGUUAUGCUAGUAGAACGCUUAGCAAAAGCCAACGAAACUACUGUGUUACAAAAAGGGAACUGUUAGCCGUAGUUACUUUUGUAAGACAAUUUAGACAUUACUUGUGGGGACGAAAGUUUUUGAUACGAACUGACCAUGCCUCGCUUACAUGGUUAAGAAAUUUCAAAGAGGCUGAAGGCAUGGUAGCUCGGUGGAUCAGUAUAUUAGAUGAAUAUGAUUUUGAUAUUCAGUUCAGAAAGGGAACUCAGCACUCAAACGCAGAUGGGUUAUCGCGUAUUCCUGCUCGUAAAUGUAAAAAAGACGAUUGUAAACAGUGUUUCCCAGAUUCCAUUGUCCAAAGUCAGACUGAGGAAAAUGCAAACUGCCGGAUCUGUAAUCGGAUUCACCCAGGGAGCUGUCCUGCAGUCAUGACGGAGGAAAACUCACUGUUAAACACAAUAGUUUGCUCGGUAAUAGAUGAUACCCCUGACCAAAAUUUAGACCCUAAUUGGUUAGAUUUUUGGAGCAUGGAAGAAAUAAAAAAUAUGCAGGAAGAAGACACUGCAAUUGGUGAUAUGCUACGUUUGAAAAAUAAUCAAGAUGAGAAACCUCUGAGAAUUGAUAUAUUAAAUUUACACCCUGAAGCCAAAGUUUUAUGGGGAAUGUGGGAAAACCUUGAAGUUAAGGAUGACAUUCUAUACAAACAGUUUUUGAGAGAAGAUAACACUAUUUUGUUGCAAUUAGUAGCUCCUCAGAAAAUAAGGGAGACAAUUUUUCAUCAGUUACAUCAUAACAAAAUAGCGGGUCAUUUUGGUAAAGAUAGAACCAUAAAUGCUAUCAGGACAAGAUUUUAUUGGCCUAGAAGUACUGAAAACAUUAAGCUAUGGUGUCUUGAAUGUGACCUAUGUGCCCGUUGUAAACCUGGUCCUGGUGUAGGGAAAUCCCCACUUAGACAGUCCAAGAGUAGUGCCCCUUUAGAGAGAAUUAAUGUUGAUAUAGUUGGACCCCUUCCUGUAACCGCAAACGGAAAUGAAUACAUUAUAGUUUUAGGGGACUAUUACUCUAAAUGGAAGGAGGCCUUCCCUGUCCCUAAUCAUACUGCAAUGACGGUGGCGGAUAAGAUUAUAACUGAGUUUAUUUGUAGAUUUGGGUGCCCUUUGCAGUUACAUACCGACCAAGGGAAAGAAUUUGAAUCCCAUUUAUUUAAGAUAAUGUGUGAAAAAUUAGGUGUUCAAAAAACCCAUUCUACCCCAAUAUCGCCCACAAAGUUCAGGUUUUAG